AACGAACGCUGGCGGCAUGCCUAACACAUGCAAGUCGAACGAGACCUUCGGGUCUAGUGGCGCACGGGUGCGUAACGCGUGGGAACCUGCCCUUAGGUUCGGAAUAACUCCCCGAAAGGGGUGCUAAUACCGGAUAAUGUCUUCGGACCAAAGAUUUAUCGCCUUUGGAUGGGCCCGCGUUGGAUUAGCUAGUUGGUAGGGUAAAAGCCUACCAAGGCGACGAUCCAUAGCUGGUCUGAGAGGAUGAUCAGCCACACUGGGACUGAGACACGGCCCAGACUCCUACGGGAGGCAGCAGUGGGGAAUAUUGGAAAAUGGGCGAAAGCCUGAUCCAGCAAGGCCGCGUGAGUGAUGAAGGCAUUAGGGUUGUAAAGCUCUUUUAACCGGGAUGAUAAUGACAGUACCGGGAGAAUAAGCUCCGGCUAACUCCGUG
rnacentral:rRNA from 1 species